rnacentral:rRNA from 1 species
UACGAAGGACCCGAGCGUUAUCCGGAUUUAUUGGGUUUAAAGGGUGCGUAGGCGGAUUAGUAAGUCAGUGGUGAAAGCCCAUCGCUUAACGGUGGAAUUGCCAUUGAUACUGCUAGUCUUGAGUAUGGUUGAGGUGGGCGGAAUGUGUCAUGUAGCGGUGAAAUGCUUAGAUAUGACCCAGAACACCAAUUGCGAAGGCAGCUCGCUAAACCAUAACUGACGCUGAUGCACGAAAAGCGUGGGGGAGCAAACAGG